ACGAGCGACACUAGCGGGAAUUAUGAAACAAAGAGAGGGACAAAGAGAGACGGUUGAGUCGCAGGAGAGAGACAGAAAUCCGUCGAUAUCUGAACUGUAGUCUUAUACAAUAGUGGGAUUUCUACGACAUCAGAGGCUGCCCAGGGAUUUGUGGAUGAUGGACAGCAAUCUCACCUCAGGCACAUCAACACUUCUAAAAUUCUCCACUGACCAUACUGGUACAAGUAAAGCACAGACAUAGAAAACAGACAGAUUGAAUUACUAUAGGUGGACAGAUUCGAAAAAUUUUUAAGUACUUUAAAGGGGACUUGAGCUUAUCUUGACCGCUUCGACUUUCUGAUUGAGGUAGUUCAGCUGGACCAGUUUAGAUCACCAAUUGCGAUAGCUGCCACAAAU